rnacentral:rRNA from 1 species
UACGUAGGUGGCAAGCGUUGUCCGGAUUUACUGGGCGUAAAGCGUAUGCAGGCGGAUCUUUAAGUAGAAAGUGAAAGGUUGGGGCUUAACUCCAACACUGCUCUCUAUACUGGAGGUCUUGAGUGCCGGAGAGGAAGAUGGAACUGCACGUGUAGCGGUGAAAUGCGUUGAGGUGUGCAGGAACACCAAUGGCGAAAGCAAUCUUCUGGACGGAUACUGACGCUGAGAUACGAAAGCCAAGGGAGCGAACAGG